rnacentral:rRNA from 1 species
GACGAACGCUGGCGGCGUGCUUAACACAUGCAAGUCGAACGGUGAAGCGCCUUCCUUUUUGGUGGGUGUGGAUGAGUGGCGAACGGGUGAGUAACACGUGAGUAACCUGCCCCCUUCUUCUGGAUAACCGCAUGAAAGUGUGGCUAAUACGGGAUAUUCUGGGUCUGUCGCAUGAUGGGUCUGGGAAAGAUAUUGUUUCGGUGGGGGAUGGGCUCGCGGCCUAUCAGCUUGUUGGUGGGGUGAUGGCCUACCAAGGCGGUGACGGGUAGCCGGCCUGAGAGGGUGGACGGUCACACUAGGACUGAGACACGGCCCAGACUCCUACGGGAGGCAGCAGUGGGGAAUAGUGCACAAUGGGAGCAAGCCUGAUGCAGCGACGCCGCGUGAGGGAUGGAGGCCUUCGGGUUGUGAACCUCUUUCGCCAGUGAAGCAGGCCUGCCUCGUUUGUGGGUGGGUUGACGGUAGCUGGAUAAGAAGCGCCGGCUAACUACGUG